AUGAACGCUAGCUACAGGCUUAACACAUGCAAGUCGAGGGGCAGCAUUUCAGUUUGCUUGCAAACUGGAGAUGGCGACCGGCGCACGGGUGAGUAACACGUAUCCAACCUGCCGAUAACUCGGGGAUAGCCUUUCGAAAGAAAGAUUAAUACCCGAUGGUAUAAUUAGACCGCAUGGUCUUGUUAUUAAAGAAUUUCGGUUAUCGAUGGGGAUGCGUUCCAUUAGGCAGUUGGUGAGGUAACGGCUCACCAAACCUUCGAUGGAUAGGGGUUCUGAGAGGAAGGUCCCCCACAUUGGAACUGAGACACGGUCCAAACUCCUACGGGAGGCAGCAGUGAGGAAUAUUGGUCAAUGGGCGCAGGCCUGAACCAGCCAAGUAGCGUGAAGGAUGACUGCCCUAUGGGUUGUAAACUUCUUUUAUAUGGGAAUAAAGUUUUCCACGUGUGGAAUUUUGUAUGUACCAUAUGAAUAAGGAUCGGCUAACUCCGUGCCAGCAGCCGCGGUAAUACGGAGGAUCCGAGCGUUAUCCGGAUUUAUUGGGUUUAAAGGGAGCGUAGGUGGACAGUUAAGUCAGUUGUGAAAGUUUGCGGCUCAACCGUAAAAUUGCAGUUGAUACUGGCUGUCUUGAGUACAGUAGAGGUGGGCGGAAUUCGUGGUGUAGCGGUGAAAUGCUUAGAUAUCACGAAGAACUCCGAUUGCGAAGGCAGCUCACUGGACUGCAACUGACACUGAUGCUCGAAAGUGUGGGUAUCAAACAGGAUUAGAUACCCUGGUAGUCCACGCUGUAAACGAUGAAUACUAGGUGUGCGGGGACUGACCCCCUGCGUGCCGCAGUUAACACAAUAAGUAAUCCACCUGGGGAGUACGACCGCAAGGUUGAAACUCAAAGGAAUUGACGGGGGCCCGCACAAGCAGUGGAGUAUGUGGUUUAAUUCGAAGCAACGCGAAGAACCUUACCAGGUCUUGACAUCCGAUGCAUAGUGCAGAGAUGCAUGAAGUCCUUCGGGACAUCGAGACAGGUGGUGCAUGGUUGUCGUCAGCUCGUGCCGUGAGGUGUCGGCUUAAGUGCCAUAACGAGCGCAACCCUUAUCUUUAGUUACUAACAGGUCAUGCUGAGGACUCUAGAGAGACUGCCGUCGUAAGAUGUGAGGAAGGUGGGGAUGACGUCAAAUCAUCAUGCCCUUUAUGUCCUGGGCUACACACGUACUACAAUGGCUAUAACAAAGAGAAGCGAGACCGCGAGGUGGAGCAAAACUCAAAAACAACGUCCCAGUUCAGAUUGCAGGCUGCAACUCGCCUGCAUGAAGUCGGAAUUGCUAGUAAUCGCAGGUCAGCAUACUGCGGUGAAUACGUUCCCGGGCUUUGUACACACCGCCCGUCAAACCAUGAAAGUCGGGAAUACCCGAAGUCAGUGAGCUAACCGCAAGGGGGCAGCUGCCUAAGGUAGGUUCGAUGAUUGGGGUU
rnacentral:rRNA from 1 species